rnacentral:rRNA from 1 species
AACGAACGCUGGCGGCAGGCUUAACACAUGCAAGUCGAACGCCCCGCAAGGGGAGUGGCAGACGGGUGAGUAACGCGUGGGAAUCUACCCAGUUCUACGGAACAACACAGGGAAGCUUGUGCUAAUACCGUAUACGCCCUACGGGGGAAAGAUUUAUCGGAAUUGGAUGAGCCCGCGUUAGAUUAGCUAGUUGGUGGGGUAAUGGCCUACCAAGGCGACGAUCUAGAGCUGGUCUGAGAGGAUGAUCAGCCACACUGGGACUGAGACACGGCCCAGAAUCCUACGGGAGGCAGCAGUGGGGAAUAUUGGACAAUGGGCGCAAACCUGAGCCAGCCAGGCCGCGUGAGUGAUGAAGGCCUUAGGGUUGUAAAGCUCUUUCAGUGGGGACGAUAAUGACGGUACCCACAGAAGAAGCCCCGGCUAACUUCGUGCCAGCAGCCGCCGUAAAAC